GGAGAGUAUCCCGAACGGUUCAGGGAAAAGUUUGCUAAACUUUGACUCUUAAUUGGGUCCGACAGGUUCGACUCCUGUACUCUCCG
rnacentral:tRNA from 1 species